UACGAAGGGGGCUAGCGUUGCUCGGAAUCACUGGGCGUAAAGCGCACGUAGGCGGAUUGCUAAGUCAGGGGUGAAAUCCUGGAGCUCAACUCCAGAACUGCCUUUGAUACUGGCGAUCUUGAGUCCGGGAGAGGGUGAGUGGAACUGCGAGUGUAGAGGUGAAAUUCGUAGAUAUUCGCAAGAACACCAGUGGCGAAGGCGGCUCACUGGCCCGGUACUGACGGCUGAGGUGCGAAAGCGUGGGGAGCAAACAGG
rnacentral:rRNA from 1 species